AGUGAACGCUGGCGGCGUGCUUAACACAUGCAAGUCGAACGAGAACGGAUUAUAGCUUGCUAUAAUUGUCAGCUAAGUGGCGCACGGGUGAGUAAUGUAUAGGUAAUAUGCCUCUUACUAAGGGAUAACAAAUGGAAACGUUUGCUAAUACCUUAUACUCCUUAUUAACAUAAGUUAAUAAGGGAAAGAUUUAUUGGUAAGAGAUUAGCCUGUAUUGUAUCAGUUAGUUGGUGGGGUAAUGGCUUACCAAGACUAUGACACAUAACUGGUUUGAGAGGAUGAUCAGUCACACUGGAACUGAGACACGGUCCAGACUCCUACGGGAGGCAGCAGUGGGGAAUAUUGCACAAUGGACGAAAGUCUGAUGCAGCAACGCCGCGUGGAGGAUGACACAUUUCGGUGCGUAAACUCCUUUUAUAUGAGAAGAUAAUGACGGUAUCAUACGAAUAAGCACCGGCUAACUCCGUGCCAGCCGCCGCCGUAA
rnacentral:rRNA from 1 species